rnacentral:rRNA from 1 species
ACAGCUCAAAUUUGAAAUCUGGCCUCCUUCGGGGCCCGAGUUGUAAUUUGGAGAGGAUGUUUCGGGUACGGCCCGGGCUUAUAUUUCUUGGAACAGAAUGUCAUAGAGGGUGAGAAUCCCGUCUGGAGCCCGGACACGACCUAUGUGAAACUCCUUCGACGAGUCGAGUUGUUUGGGAAUGCAGCUCUAAAUGGGUGGUAAAUUUCAUCUAAAGCUAAAUAUUGGCCAGAGACCGAUA